GAGGAAUGGCAGAGUGGUUGAAUGCGGCGGUCUUGAAAACCGUUGUGCCGCAAGGCACCGUGGGUUCAAAUCCUACUUCCUCC
rnacentral:tRNA from 1 species